rnacentral:rRNA from 1 species
UACGUAGGACCCAAGCGUUAUCCGGAUUUACUGGGCGUAAAGAGUUGCGUAGGUGGUAAUGUAAGCGAAUAGUGAAAUCGUCUCGCUCAACGGGACGGCUGUUGUUCGAACUGCAUAACUUGAGUGCGAGAGAGGUAGCUGGAAUUUCUAGUGUAGGAGUGAAAUCCGUAGAUAUUAGAAGGAACACCAAUGGCGAAGGCAGGCUACUGGCUCGUUACUGACACUGAGGCACGAAAGCGUGGGGAGCAAACGGG